rnacentral:lncRNA from 1 species
GAAGCACGCACUGCAUUUGCUUCUGGUGCAUCUGCUGCAGCUGCUGGAGCUGCGCCAAGUGCUGUUCGCGGAAGCUCAUGAAGCCCGAGGAGGAGGGGGCCGCGGGAGUCGUCGAGCUCGAGUACCCGGGCCCCGGCGAGGCCUCAGGAAGCGCCACUGGCGGCGGCGGUGGGACCGGUGGCGGCGGAUAGUGGCUGCUCCCGCCAUACCGGCCCCAAUUCGGGUACAUAUCGAAAAAGAAGGCGCAGGGCUCGUCCUGGCGCCGUUACUCGUCGCAACCGACCUCCAGGAGCCGCGGCGGCGACGGCGACAGCCGGAACUCGCGGCGCCUACAGGCCCCGGAGCGUGUAAACGGAGCGCGCCAGUGCGCCGGCGCUCCCGAGCUGGGCCCGCGACCGGGAAGGCGGGGACGCGACUUGGGCGACUACGUCUGCGCAGUAACCACCGAGAGGAGAACAAAGGCGAGAUAGAGCGGUCCUUUACUUGGCGACUCGUGGUUGCCAUCUUCCUUUGGGUUCAGAUAAUGUAGGCUCCAGUAGAAUGUUCUCAUAGAACUGAAAAACCAUAGAGUCUCACAGCCGAAAGAGGUGGUAGAGAUCCUAUCGCUCCACGGGUUCAUUUUUGAAUGAAAAAAAAAAAAGGUUCCAUUCACAAUAGCAACAAUCGCAACAACAACAAAAAAACAUAAAGCAACUAGGAAAAACUCUAACAAGAAAGAUGUAGGACUUAUAUGUAGAAAGCUACAGAGUCAUAAAGAAGCAUAUCCAAGUAGGAUGAAAUUAGACUUCAAAUAAUGGAGAGGCUUACCAUGAUCCUGGGUGAAAAGAGGAAAAAUUGUAAAGAUGUCAGUUUCUCCCAAAUUAAAUGAAUAGACCUAACUCAAUUCUCCCCAGAAAUUCAACUGGGAACAAAGCUGUGAAGAAUGGAAAGGUGUUUUCAAGGCAGAGUGUAAGAUUACACCAAUUCCUGCAGACAUAUAGUGAGUAACAUCUGCAGGAAUUGUAGAAGGGGAGAAAUGGAAUUUUUUAGACUGUCUCAACACAUAUAAAUCGGUGUUGCAGAAUCUCAGAGCAAAAGCAAAGAGAGCAAAAACCAGAUACAAAGAUGGUCUAAAGACAACCUGGAAGAU